GGAUGACUGCCCAGGAGAGAGCGCAGAGAAGCGUGUAAGACUGCGACUCCAACUCCUGGUCUCAACUCCAGUUUGUCAUGGAUUAAGAAGUAUUAUUUUAAC